rnacentral:sRNA from 1 species
CAAACCAAGAUGGAGUAUGAGUGGAAACCUGACGAGCAAGGGCUUCAGCAAAUCCUGCAGCUGUUGAAGGAGUCCCAGUCCCCAGACACCACCAUCCAGAGAACCGUGCAACAAAAACUGGAACAACUUAAUCAAUAUCCAGACUUUAACAACUACUUGAUUUUUGUUCUUACAAAAUUAAAAUCUGAAGGUAUUUUGAUCACAACUAUAGCCUCCAAGGGAGAAUUGCAGAAUUGGCCUGAUCUCUUACCAAAACUCUGUAGCCUGUUGGAUUCUGAAGAUUAUAAUACCUGUGAGGGAGCAUUUGGUGCCCUUCAGAAGAUUUGUGAAGAUUCUGCUGAGAUUUUAGAUAGUGAUGUUUUAGAUCGUCCUCUCAACAUCAUGAUUCCCAAAUUUUUACAGUUCUUCAAGCAUAGUAGUCCAAAAAUAAGGU